AGAGUUUGAUUAUGGCUCAGGAUGAACGCUAGCGGCAGGCUUAACACAUGCAAGUCGAGGGGCAGCGGGAUGUAGCAAUACAUUGCCGGCGACCGGCGGAUGGGUGCGUAACGCGUAUGCAACCUACCUUAUACAGGGGAAUAACCUUUCGAAAGGGAGACUAACACCCCAUAGUAUUGAUUUAAGGCAUCUUAGAUUAAUUAAAUAUUUAUAGGUAUAAGAUGGGCAUGCGUAUGAUUAGCUAGUUGGUAAGGUAACGGCUUACCAAGGCGACGAUCAUUAGGGGUUCUGAGAGGAAGGUCCCCCACACUGGUACUGAGACACGGACCAGACUCCUACGGGAGGCAGCAGUGAGGAAUAUUGGUCAAUGGGCGCAAGCCUGAACCAGCCAUGCCGCGUGCCAGGAAGACGGCCUUAUGGGUUGUAAACUGCUUUUACAUAAGACUAACCGUAUAUUUGCGAAUAUACCUGAAUGUAUUAUGAGAAUAAGGAUCGGCUAACUCCGUGCCAGCAGCCGC
rnacentral:rRNA from 1 species